CUGGUGUGUGUGUGUUGGUGUUUUCUUUCUUGCCUCAGAGAUUUCAGACCUGCACAACGUAACAGAAGCUGAUCUUGGCUGCCAGGAUCUAGUGGCAUUAUUUGGUUGAUGGACCAGGAAUAACAAGAAGCAAAGAAUUAUCAUCUUGAAGAAGACCAACUUCAGAAGUACCACUUGCAUUUCUUGCAGAAGAAAGGCAUUCCCUGAGUGAAGGAUGAAGAGUGUAAACCCCUUUUACUUCUCAAAUGUCAAUUCAAGAAAGAAAGGAGCCAUUGCAAGCAGAGUUCCUGGCGAGGCUGGCCCCAGGCAUCCCUGUCAAGUGGAUGCUUACAGUGGCACUUUCAGCUUUCUCCUGCCUUGCUAUACCUGGUGGGCUCUACGCUGUGCUUCAUACAGGCAUUCUACCGUCCCCUCUACCAACUCCCUCUUUCAGGGAAGGAGCUGGAUGUUAUCUUGACUGGCACAAAGGCUGGUUCACAGCUGACAGCUUGUGGUUUCCUACUGACUACAAGUUUUUUUUUUGAAGACUAAAAAUGUC
rnacentral:lncRNA from 1 species